CCAGACUCCUACGGGAGGCAGCAGUGGGGAAUAUUGGACAAUGGGGGGAACCCUGAUCCAGCGACGCCGCGUGAGUGAAGAAGUAUUUCGGUAUGUAAAGCUCUAUCAGCAGGGAAGAAAGAAAUGACGGUACCUGACUAAGAAGCCCCGGCUAAAUACGUGCCAGCAGCCGCGGUAAUACGUAUGGUGCAAGCGUUAUCCGGAAUGACUGGGUGUAAGGGGAGCGUAGACGGCCAUGCAAGCCAGGGGUGAAAGUCCGGGGCCCAACCCCGGGACUGCCCUUGGAACUGCAUGGCUGGAGUGCGGGAGGGGCAGGCGGAAUUCCUGGUGUAGCGGUGAAAUGCGUAGAUAUCAGGAGGAACACCGGCGGCGAAGGCGGCCUGCUGGACCGCGACUGACGUUGAGGCUCGAAAGCGUGGGGAGCGAACAGGAUUAGAUACCCCUGUACC
rnacentral:rRNA from 1 species